AACGCACAUUGCGCCCGCCAGCACUCUGGCGGGCAUGCCUGUUCGAGCGUCAUUUCAACCCUCAGGCCCGGCCUGGUGUUGGGGCCCUGCGCACCGCAGGCCCCGAAAUGCAGUGGCGGACACGCCGGCUCUCCGAGCGCAGUAAAACUCUCGUUCUGGACGGCCCGGCGCUGGCUUGCCUCGCACCCACUUCUUGCACAGGUUGACCUCGGAUCAGGUAGGAAUACCCGCUGAACUUAA
rnacentral:misc_RNA from 1 species